UACGGAGGGGGCUAGCGUUGUUCGGAAUUACUGGGCGUAAAGCGCACGUAGGCGGCUUUGUAAGUUAGAGGUGAAAGCCCAGGGCUUAACCCUGGAAUUGCCUUUAAGACUGCAUCGCUAGAAUCGUGGAGAGGUGAGUGGAAUUCCGAGUGUAGAGGUGAAAUUCGUAGAUAUUGGGAAGAACACCGGUGGCGAAGGCGGCUCACUGGCUCGUAACUGACGCUCAGGCACGACAGCGUGGGGAUCAAACAGG
rnacentral:rRNA from 1 species